rnacentral:rRNA from 1 species
AAAUUGAAGAGUUUGAUCAUGGCUCAGAUUGAACGCUGGCGGCAGGCCUAACACAUGCAAGUCGAACGGUAACAGGAAGCAGCUUGCUGCUUUGCUGACGAGUGGCGGACGGGUGAGUAAUGUCUGGGAAACUGCCUGAUGGAGGGGGAUAACUACUGGAAACGGUAGCUAAUACCGCAUAACGUCGCAAGACCAAAGAGGGGGACCUUAGGGCCUCUUGCCAUCGGAUGUGCCCAGAUGGGAUUAGCUAGUAGGUGGGGUAAAGGCUCACCUAGGCGACGAUCCCUAGCUGGUCUGAGAGGAUGACCAGCCACACUGGAACUGAGACACGGUCCAGACUCCUACGGGAGGCAGCAGUGGGGAAUAUUGCACAAUGGGCGCAAGCCUGAUGCAGCCAUGCCGCGUGUAUGAAGAAGGCCUUCGGGUUGUAAAGUACUUUCAGCGGGGAGGAAGGGAGUAAAGUUAAUACCUUUGCUCAUUGAC